rnacentral:rRNA from 1 species
GACGAACGCUGGCGGCGUGCCUAACACAUGCAAGUCGUACGGGACUAAGGGGGCAACUCUUUAGUUCAGUGGCAGACGGGUGCGUAACACGUGAGGAACCUGUCCGGUGGCGGGGGAUAGCCGGCCCAACGGCCGGGUAAUACCGCAUACGCUCGUUUGGGGGCGAUCCCUGAGCGAGGAAAGCAGCCGCAAGGUUGCGCCGACGGAGGGUCUCGCGGCCUAUCAGCUUGUUGGCGGGGUCACGGCCCACCAAGGCGACGACGGGUAGCUGGUCUGAGAGGAUGAUCAGCCACAUUGGGACUGAGACACGGCCCAGACUCCUACGGGAGGCAGCAGUGGGGAAUAUUGCGCAAUGGCCGCAAGGCUGACGCAGCGACGCCGCGUGUGGGAUGACGGUCUUCGGAUUGUAAACCCC